rnacentral:rRNA from 1 species
UACGGGGGGGGCAAGCAUUGUUCGGAAUUACUGGGCGUAAAGGGCGCGUAGGCGGCCUUCUAAGUCGGACGUGAAAUCCCUCGGCUCAACCGAGGAACUGCGUCCGAUACUGAAAGGCUUGAAUCCGGGAGAGGGAUGUGGAAUUCCAGGUGUAGCGGUGAAAUGCGUAGAUAUCUGGAGGAACACCGGUGGCGAAGGCGGCAUCCUGGACCGGCAUUGACGCUGAGGCGCGAAAGCUAGGGGAGCAAACGGGG